rnacentral:lncRNA from 1 species
GGGCCACCCGCCAGCCCCGCGCUCUACCAGGCAGAGCGCGUGUGGCCGCCGAGCACAUGGACCCACUGGUCAAGCGGGCUCGGCAAGGCCAGGAUGAAGAGAAGCUACGAACUUAGCAUUCCCAGAGCCCCCCGAGUGGAUAUCCGCGUGGAAAGGAUGUUGGCAGCCCCGGUGACCUCGGAGUCACGGCUGGAUCCACCCUCUUGUCUGAUUUUCUUAACUCUACUACGGUAAGAAGAUGCCCUCCAUCAGCAGGCCGUGUCUGCUGGGACCUCUCUGGAGACUUCCUGAACCCUGUGGAUUUACAGUAAGAUGCAGUUUCCUGGGGAGUAAUUCUGGUGGAUACAAAUUCCGGAGUAUUACACCUGGCUUGCCUGGAGAUGUUACAAGUAGCUGGAUGGAUUCUUCAGCCUGGAUGCCCACUGAAAACAAGGACCGAAACUAAGAGGAUUGUAUCUCUACCCUUGACUCAAUGAGAAUGUUUGUUGUCAUCUCUCGGGCUACCUGGAGCUCCCUCUAAAAUGGGCUGGGACACUGCCUGAUUGAGGUGGCCAUUGAGAAUUCAAGUGUACCUCUUGGUCCCUGAUGCAGAAAUGAAGUCCCCAGCAUGCUCAAGAAGAGCUUCCUUGGAGGAUGAGAGGCAUGGGAAUCUAAGGUAUGCUGUGCUUGUUCUUGGAGACUUGGUAGGGCAUGCAUGCUGGACUGGUUGCAGGCUAGAUGUUCUUACAGAAGGACUGUUCUGCUGCUGCUGACAGAUGUACAGACGAAUGCAGAGACAGUGAAGGGCUCUCUACUGAAUAAAAAGCCAGACCUGGGCCUUUUCACAGAAGGAAAUCCAUCCACAAUCCAGGCUGUGGACUGGAAACAAAAGUUUAGCUGCCAAUGGUCUUGUAAAGGGGGCUGGAGAAGUUCAGAUCUUGGAAUUAGGCCUAGAAACAUUAGAAUCCAGACCACGGAGCUCCCCAGAUCCUGACCUCAGUCCCAAUAUGGGGCACAAAGGUGUUAGAUCAACCCAGAGGUGGAUGUGUGCUUCACUGCGUACAUUCCACAGAACCACAAAGUGCGCUUCUGUUGAAUGAAGCAGCUGCCACGAGGCUCAGAAACGUUCAUGGGCACCCUGGGAGGAGCUUAUGCUGUAAUCCCAAGCUUAGAUGGAGGUCCAUCCUGGGUUAGGGAUGACAUAGUGGCAGUCAUCUCCUCUGAAGAUGGAAACAGGGGAUUUCAAUCCUCUAUAAUUGCUUUCAAUGCCAGCUUCAUCUAUGAAGAUGGGAGAUGAACUGGUAGUUCUCAAAUGCCCCAAAGCCUGAAACCACCUUAUUGAAAAGUAGACUGGAAAAGUCUGCCUCUCCAGCCAAAAAUAAAAA